rnacentral:rRNA from 1 species
GACGGAGGAUGCAAGUGUUAUCCGGAAUCACUGGGCGUAAAGCGUCUGUAGGUGGUCAAAUAAGUCAACUGUUAAAUCUUGAGGCUUAACCUUAAAAUCGCAGUCGAAACUAUUAGACUAGAGUAUAGUAGGGGUAAAGGGAAUUUCCAGUGGAGCGGUGAAAUGCGUAGAGAUCGGAAAGAACACCGAUGGCGAAGGCACUUUACUGGGCUAUUACUAACACUCAGAGACGAAAGCUAGGGUAGCAAAUGGG